AAACAAUUUAGAAUAAGGUAUUGGGUCAAGUGGAUGCUAUGGACAAGAUACAAAAGGAACAGGCUCGUGAAAUAAGGGAUGUAAAGCGAGAUUUAGGUGACGAAAUCAAAGAGAGAAAGAACGAGGAAAAUGAAAUCAAUCAAGCUCAUCAAAGACUCCGAGGACGAGUGAAAAGACUUAAACUGCGAGUUCGUAAAAUUAAAGAAGUCGUUAUGAAGGAUCAAGUAGACUCAGAUGACGAUGAUAAGGGAGAUAUUUAAAAAUACUUCCACAAAGUGAGUUAUACUUCUACAAAGGUACAGUUUUAGCGUAAGCGGUGAUUUGUGGGCAAAGACUAAUGAUUGAGGCCCGUUUCAUGCUUUGCUUUUUGAAAUUUAGAUUUUGUACAAAAAUAAUAUUACUUAUUCAGAAAAUAUUUCAAUUUACCUUUCCUAUAUGUAUGACCAUUUUUUAUUUAUUGUUGAACUUUAUAUCAAUAUAAUAAAAAUCUAUUCAAGA
rnacentral:lncRNA from 1 species